rnacentral:misc_RNA from 1 species
AUUGAAUCAGACUGUGUGGCAAUGGUGAACUUGUUGAUUUGUAACGGCGCGGAUGUAAACAUUGGGACAAUGAAAGGAAUUACCCCUCUCAUGUUGUUGUGUUCUAAAUCUGACGUACAGAAUGACACAGAGAUGAUGCGUCUACUGAUAAACCACGGAGCCUUGGUUAACUUGAGGGACUUAGCGGCCAAACGCAGUGCUUUACAAUAUGCCGCUCUUAAGCUGAAAGUUGAUGCGGUCCAGAUUCUGCUAGAGGCGGGCGGUGACCCCAAUACUCUGGACGGGGCCGGGAGGACCCCCAUGACUAACGUGAUCCGCCAGUGUGUGAGAGCUGACGGGACCAUCCGUACCGACGACUGUCUGACCAUUGUCCUGAUGCUACUCCACGCCGGAAGUGACGUCAACAUGACGACCUGUGAGGAAUGCUGUCCGCUCAUGGUGGCCUCGAUUUUGAGAUGCCCCACUUUGGUAAAGUUUUUCUUGGAUUAUGGCGCGAAUCCCGGUAUUCGAUUUGCCUGUGGAAUAACUCCCAUUUUGCCAGCCGUUUGUAACCACGACACCCAGACAAUCAGACUUUUGCUUGAAUACAACAGUCCUAUCAAUCUUCCAGGCCGUAUCGUCAGGCGGAGAGAGGAGUUCUACUUUGAUCCCUGUGAGCUGGCCAUCCACGUGGGUUUCUUUGACGUUGUGGAACUGUUAUAUGAUUAUGGCUAUAACCUAUCGAAGUACCCUAAGGCCUUAUCUAGUUGAUCCAAUGGGCACUAUUGAUACUCCGGCGACGCUCAAAGAAAAUACCCUAGCUCUAGGGCAGCUAUGUUCGCUAGCAUCUAACCCUCAUUCGCUGUUUAAAGUUUCAGCUCUAACUAUUCGCAAAGUUUUACAUAAGAAUUUACACGACAAAGUCAGACUGUUAUCUCUGCCAUCAUCUGUACAGAAAGACUUGCUUUGUUUAGCUGCUCACUGACAAAAAAUAAAUAAAUAAAACAAUGGUCAAUGAAAGCCUUGUCAUGAAUUAACAAAAAACUUAUUUAUAAAUUACUCAAUUGACAAUUUUGAAGCACCCAACAAAAAUACAUUUUUAAGAGUUUACUUUGUUGAUUGCAUGUUAUGAAUACCAAGAAUAAUGUUAUUUUAAUUGAUUUGUAAUGUUAUCACAGACAAGGGCAUGUUAAAUUUUUUAUUUACAUGUUAGUGUAUAAUUGACUUGUCAUAUUUUUUUUGAACAUGUACAUUGAUAUGUAUCACCCAUUUGUUUUGAAAGACAUCUAGCGAUAUUCUUGAAUAAGGUAAUGUUGCUUUCGGUAAAUAUAAACAAUAAAAUGCUUUCUUUG